rnacentral:rRNA from 1 species
UACGGAGGGUGCGAGCGUUGUCCGGAAUCACUGGGCGUAAAGGGCGCGUAGGUGGCCGAGCAAGGUCGCGGUGAAAGCCCGGGGCUCAACCCCGGGUCGGCCGUGGCAACUACUUGGCUUGAGCACUGUAGGGGCGGGUGGAAUUCCGGGUGUAGCGGUGGAAUGCGUAGAGAUCCGGAAGAACACCGGUGGCGAAGGCGGCCCGCUGGGCAGGAAGAGGGACGCAAGUCUCUCGGCUGACACUGAGGCGCGACAGCGUGGGGAGCAAACAGG